rnacentral:RNase_P_RNA from 1 species
GCGGUUUUGCAGGCGAUCGCGGCGUUCUGCCUUGAGACGAAAAUCGAAUGACCUAGGUUAUUUGAGAUUUAUCAAAAAGAAAGUUCGCUGAGGAAAGUCCGGACUCCAUCGGGUAGCGCAGGGGUUAACGACCCCCCACCGCAAGGUGAGGAACAGUGGAACAGAGAAAAUGUCCGGGGCAUUGAGCUUAGGGUUGGGAACGGGAAACCUUAAGGGAGCUGCCGGAGUGAAAAUAGCCAAACUCUGCGUGGAGCAAGAACAAAUAGGAGAGCGUUAAGUGCGACCCGCACAUGGCUCUCGGGUAAGUUCGCUAGAGGUCUUCGGUAACGGAGAUCCCAGAGGAAUGAUCACCUCCUGAUUGUGGUGUCGAAUCCACAACAGAAGACAGAACCCGGCUUAUCGCAAAACCCUCGUC